AGAAGAAUGAAUACACAAAACUAGUAUUCCUAUUUAUUUCUUCCCCGCACCUCAUGGCGACCUUGCCAGGUGCUUGUCAAGUGACAGGUUGCCACGUUGCCAGCCCAUCGCCCACACCGCAAUGGAAUCCAUACCCCACAGCCGAAAUCUACGACACCAACGAGAGGAAAGGCAGUGGUGAAAUUCUUAACCCCUCACCAGACGAUGCACUUUACUCUAAUAAAACUAACAAUAAACCUGCAA